AGUGAACGAGGGAGGGAGGAAGAACACAUGCAAGUCGAACGGCAGCACAGUAAGAGCUUGCUCUUACGGGUGGCGAGUGGCGGACGAGUGAGGAAUACAUCGGAAUCUACUUUUUCGUGGGGGAUAACGUAGGGAAACUUACGCUAAUACCGCAUACGACCUACGGGUGAAAGCAGGGGAUCUUCGGACCUUGCGCGAUUGAAUGAGCCGAUGUCGGAUUAGCUAGUUGGCGGGGUAAAGGCCCACCAAGGCGACGAUCCGUAGCUGGUCUGAGAGGAUGAUCAGCCACACUGGAACUGAGACACGGUCCAGACUCCUACGGGAGGCAGCAGUGGGGAAUAUUGGACAAUGGGCGCAAGCCUGAUCCAGCCAUACCGCGUGGGUGAAGAAGGCCUUCGGGUUGUAAAGCCCUUUUGUUGGGAAAGAAAAGCAGCAGGUUAAUACCCCGCUGUUCUGACGGUACCCAAAGAAUAAGCACCGGCUAACUUCGUG
rnacentral:rRNA from 1 species